rnacentral:rRNA from 1 species
UACGGGGGGGGCAAGCGUUGUUCGGAAUUACUGGGCGUAAAGGGUUCGUAGGUGGCCAACUAAGUCAGACGUGAAAUCCCUCAGCUCAACUGGGGAACUGCGUCUGAUACUGGUCGGCUUGAGUGCAGGAGAGGAACGCGGAAUUCCAGGUGUAGCGGUGAAAUGCGUAGAUAUCUGGAGGAACACCGGUGGCGAAGGCGGAUCUCUGGGCCUUACCUGACGCUGAGGCGCGAAAGCUAGGGGAGCAAACAGG